GAUAUUAGGCUGAGCAAGUGUG
rnacentral:snRNA from 1 species